UGCCAGCAGCCGCGGUAAUACGGAGGGGGUUAGCGCUGUUCGGAAUUACUGGGCGUAAAGCGUACGUAGGCGGAUCAGAAAGUAUAGGGUGAAAUCCCGGGGCUCAACCCCGGAACUGCCUUGUAAACUCCUGGUCUUGAGUUCGAGAGAGGUGAGUGGAAUUCCAAGUGUAGAGGUGAAAUUCGUAGAUAUUUGGAGGAACACCAGUGGCGAAGGCGGCUCACUGGCUCGAUACUGACGCUGAGACGCGAAAGCGUGGGGAGCAAACAGGAUUAGAUA
rnacentral:rRNA from 1 species